AUUGAACGCUGGCGGCAUGCCUUACACAUGCAAGUCGAACGGCAGGCACGGGAGCAAUCCUGGUGGCGAGUGGCGAACGGGUGAGUAAUAUAUCGGAACGUGCCCAGUCGUGGGGGAUAACGUAGCGAAAGCUACGCUAAUACCGCAUACGAUCUAUGGAUGAAANCGGGGAUCGCAAGACCUCGCGCGAUUGGAGCGGCCGAUAUCAGAUUAGGUAGUUGGUGAGGUAAAGGCUCACCAAGCCGACGAUCUGUAGCUGGUCUGAGAGGACGACCAGCCACACUGGGACUGAGACACGGCCCAGACUCCUACGGGAGGCAGCAGUGGGGAAUUUUGGACAAUGGGCGCAAGCCUGAUCCAGCAAUGCCGCGUGCAGGAUGAAGGCCUUCGGGUUGUAAACUGCUUUUGUACGGAACGAAACGGUGAGCUCUAAUACAGUUUGCUAAUGACGGUACCGUAAGAAUAAGCACCGGCUAACUACGUG
rnacentral:rRNA from 1 species